UACGAAGGGGGCUAGCGUUGUUCGGAAUUACUGGGCGUAAAGCGUGCGCAGGCGGCUUCUCAAGUCAGGGGUGAAAGCCCAGAGCUCAACCCUGGAAUUGCCUUUGAGACUGAGUGGCUUGAGUACGAGAGAGGUGAGUGGAAUUCCCAGUGUAGAGGUGAAAUUCGUAGAUAUUGGGAAGAACACCGGUGGCGAAGGCGGCUCACUGGCUCGUAACUGACGCUCAUGCACGACAGCGUGGGGAGCAAACAGG
rnacentral:rRNA from 1 species